UAAGGUAAAUGGCACCAAGAAGUUGUGGC
rnacentral:piRNA from 1 species